rnacentral:rRNA from 1 species
CAGGACGAACGCUGGCGGCGUGCCUAAUACAUGCAAGUCGAACGCACUGACGUCGACAGAAGGUGCUUGCACUGGAAGUUGAUUGACGUGAGUGGCGGACGGGUGAGUAACACGUGGGUAACCUGCCCUUAAGCGGGGGAUAACAUUUGGAAACAGAUGCUAAUACCGCAUAAAAGUUGAGAUCACAUGGUCUUAAUUUGAAAGACGGCCUUUGGCUGUCACUUAAGGAUGGACCCGCGGCGUAUUAGCUAGUUGGUGAGAUAAUAGCCCACCAAGGCGAUGAUACGUAGCCGACCUGAGAGGGUAAUCGGCCACAUUGGGACUGAGACACGGCCCAAACUCCUACGGGAGGCAGCAGUAGGGAAUCUUCCACAAUGGACAAAAGUCUGAUGGAGCAACGCCGCGUGAGUGAAGAAGGUUUUCGGAUCGUAAAACUCUGUUGUUGGAGAAGAACAGGGACUAGAGUAACUGUUAGUCCUUUGACGGUAUCCAACCAGAAAGCCACGGCUAACUACGUGCCAGCAGCCGCGGUAAUACGUAGGUGGCAAGCGUUGUCCGGAUUUAUUGGGCGUAAAGCGAGCGCAGGCGGUUUCUUAAGUCUGAUGUGAAAGCCUUCGGCUUAACCGAAGAAGUGCACCAGAUACUGGGAAACUUGAGUGCAGAAGAGGAAAGUGGAACUCCAUGUGUAGCGGUGAAAUGCGUAGAUAUAUGGAAGAACACCAGUGGCGAAGGCGGCUUUCUGGUCUGUAACUGACGCUGAGGCUCGAAAGUAUGGGGAGCGAACAGGAUUAGAUACCCUGGUAGUCCAUACCGUAAACGAUGAAUGCUAAGUGUUGGAGGGUUUCCGCCCUUCAGUGCUGCAGCUAACGCAUUAAGCAUUCCGCCUGGGGAGUACGACCGCAAGGUUGAAACUCAAAGGAAUUGACGGGGGCCCGCACAAGCGGUGGAGCAUGUGGUUUAAUUCGAAGCUACGCGAAGAACCUUACCAGGUCUUGACAUCUAGCGCCAAUCCUAGAGAUAGGACGUUCCCUUCGGGGACGCUAAGACAGGUGGUGCAUGGUUGUCGUCAGCUCGUGUCGUGAGAUGUUGGGUUAAGUCCCGCAACGAGCGCAACCCUUAUGAUUAGUUGCCAGCAUUUAAUUGGGCACUCUAAUCAGACUGCCGGUGACAAAC